UAGAAAUAAAAUCAAUAAUAAUAUAGAUCUGCAAAAAUAUAAAUUCAUGAACAGUGAGUGUCAUAAAAUCUAAACCACUUAAAGCUGAUCUUUUGCAGGAAUAACUGAAGGUGACAUCGUCCAAUCCUGAAGCCUGAACCCUGCAGGUGGGCGGGGCUUCUGUGCGGACUGACAGCAGUAGGACUCCAUUACCCAGCAUGCACUGUGGUCUUUGUAAAAUCUCUAAAGAGGAUUUGUGUGGAUCAGAGACGACAUGCCGCUGAAGAGAGAAGACACUGAACGCGCCCUGCAGGUGAUGGAGGCCUGUCAGGCCGGAGGAGCUGAAGGAGUCAAAGGAAGAGCUGAGAAACUGCUCAACAUCUUCCAGAGCGACUUAUUUCAGGCUCUGCUGGACAUACAGGAAUUCUACGAGCUGACAGUGUGUGAGAACCAGCCGCCAAGCCGACCACACACACCU